rnacentral:rRNA from 1 species
CCGGUUGAUCCUGCCGGAGGCCACUGCUAUCGGGGUUCGAUUAAGCCAUGCGAGUCGAGAGGGUUCAGACCCUCGGCGGACUGCUCAGUAACACGUGGAUAACCUGCCCUAAGGUGGAGCAUAACCCCGGGAAACUGGGGAUAAUACUCCAUAGGUUAUGGAUGCUGGAAUGCUUCAUAACUCAAAGUUCCGGCGCCUUAGGAUGGAUCUGCGGUCGAUUAGGUUGUUGUUGGGGUAACGGCCCAACAAGCCUGUAAUCGAUACGGGUUGUGGGAGCAAGAGCCCGGAGAUGGAAUCUGAGACACGAUUCCAGGCCCUACGGGGCGCAGCAGGCGCGAAAACUUUACAAUGCAGGAAACUGUGAUAAGGGAACCCCGAGUGCCCGUAUACGCGGGCUGUCCAGGUGUCUAAAAAGCACCUGAAGAAAGGGCCGGGCAAGACCGGUGCCAGCCGCCGCGGUAAUACCGGCGGCUCGAGUGGUGGCCACUUUUAUUGGGCUUAAAGCGUCCGUAGCUGGACUCCUAAGUCCCUUGGGAAAUCUCUUGGCUUAACCAAGAGGCGUCUAAGAGAUACUGGGAGUCUAGGGACCGGGAGAGGUGA